UACGUAGGGAGCAAGCGUUGUCCGGAAUCAUUGGGCGUAAAGCGCGCGUAGGCGGCCCUGUAAGUCCGUUGUGAAAGUCAAAGGCUCAACCUUUGAAAGCCGAUGGAUACUGUGAGGCUAGAGUCCGGAAGAGGCGAGUGGAAUUCCUGGUGUAGCGGUGGAAUGCGCAGAUAUCAGGAGGAACACCAAUAGCGAAGGCAGCUCGCUGGGACGUUACUGACACUGAGGCGCGAAAGCGUGGGGAGCGAACAGG
rnacentral:rRNA from 1 species